rnacentral:tRNA from 1 species
CAAAUUAGAGCUUGAUUAUAAAGUAUUUUAUUUACAUUAAAAAGUUAGUUGUGUGAUUCAAUUUAAUUUGA